rnacentral:ncRNA from 1 species
AGGGUAGCAUUGAAGGAGAAGAGUAGCUAAGUUUACUAUCAUAGAGAGUCGGUGAUGCUGGAAAUCCGAUAUAGUAGCUUAGUGAAGGGAGCUCCUGAGCGAUACCAUUUUAAAGAGGAUACAAAUUUGUAUCAAUUAGGGUGGAACCGCGGAAGGACAGCCUUUCGUCCCUUUU